GAUGAACGCUAGCUACAGGCUUAACACAUGCAAGUCGAGGGGCAGCAUGGUCUUAGCUUGCUAAGGCCGAUGGCGACCGGCGCACGGGUGAGUAACACGUAUCCAACCUGCCGUCUACUCUUGGACAGCCUUCUGAAAGGAAGAUUAAUACAAGAUGGCAUCAUGAGUCCACAUGUUCACAUGAUUAAAGGUAUUCCGGUAGACGAUGGGGAUGCGUUCCAUUAGAUAGUAGGCGGGGUAACGGCCCACCUAGUCUUCGAUGGAUAGGGGUUCUGAGAGGAAGGUCCCCCACAUUGGAACUGAGACACGGUCCAAACUCCUACGGGAGGCAGCAGCGAGGAAUAUUGGUCAAUGGGCGAGAGCCUGAACCAGCCAAGUAGCGUGAAGGAUGACUGCCCUAUGGGUUGUAAACUUCUUUUAUAAAGGAAUAAAGUCGGGUAUGGAUACCCGUUUGCAUGUACUUUAUGAAUAAGGAUCGGCUAACUCCGUGCCAGCAGCCGCGGUAAUACGGAGGAUCCGAGCGUUAUCCGGAUUUAUUGGGUUUAAAGGGAGCGUAGAUGGAUGUUUAAGUCAGUUGUGAAAGUUUGCGGCUCAACCGUAAAAUUGCAGUUGAUACUGGAUAUCUUGAGUGCAGUUGAGGCAGGCGGAAUUCGUGGUGUAGCGGUGAAAUGCUUAGAUAUCACGAAGAACUCCGAUUGCGAAGGCAGCCUGCUAAGCUGCAACUGACAUUGAGGCUCGAAAGUGUGGGUAUCAAACAGGAUUAGAUACCCUGGUAGUCCACACGGUAAACGAUGAAUACUCGCUGUUUGCGAUAUACAGCAAGCGGCCAAGCGAAAGCGUUAAGUAUUCCACCUGGGGAGUACGCCGGCAACGGUGAAACUCAAAGGAAUUGACGGGGGCCCGCACAAGCGGAGGAACAUGUGGUUUAAUUCGAUGAUACGCGAGGAACCUUACCCGGGCUUAAAUUGCAGAUGAAUUACGGUGAAAGCCGUAAGCCGCAAGGCAUCUGUGAAGGUGCUGCAUGGUUGUCGUCAGCUCGUGCCGUGAGGUGUCGGCUUAAGUGCCAUAACGAGCGCAACCCUUGUUGUCAGUUACUAACAGGUUCCGCUGAGGACUCUGACAAGACUGCCAUCGUAAGAUGUGAGGAAGGUGGGGAUGACGUCAAAUCAGCACGGCCCUUACGUCCGGGGCUACACACGUGUUACAAUGGGGGGUACAGAGGGCCGCUACCACGCGAGUGGAUGCCAAUCCCAAAAACCUCUCUCAGUUCGGACUGGAGUCUGCAACCCGACUCCACGAAGCUGGAUUCGCUAGUAAUCGCGCAUCAGCCACGGCGCGGUGAAUACGUUCCCGGGCCU
rnacentral:rRNA from 1 species